rnacentral:rRNA from 1 species
AGGACGAACGCUGGCGGCGUGCUUAACACAUGCAAGUCGAGCGGAAAGGCCCUUCGGGGUACUCGAGCGGCGAACGGGUGAGUAACACGUGAGCAACCUGCCCCUGGCUCUGGGAUAGCCUCCGGAAACGGGGAUUAAUACCGGAUAUUCACUGUCUCCUGCAUGGGGGGUGGUGGAAAGUUUUUCGGCUAGGGUGGGGCUCGCGGCCUAUCAGCUUGUUGGGGGGGUGACGGCCCACCAAGGCGACGACGGGUAGCCGGCCUGAGAGGGCGACCGGCCACACUGGGACUGAGACACGGCCCAGACUCCUACGGGAGGCAGCAGUGGGGAAUAUUGCGCAAUGGGCGGAAGCCUGACGCAGCGACGCCGCGUGCGGGAUGAAGGCCUUCGGGUUGUAACCGCUUUCACCAGGGACGAAGCGGAAGUGACGGUACCGUGGGGAAGAAGCGCCGGCUAACUACGCGCCAGCAGCCGC